UUAGGCAGUCAUUUUAGUAAAGCAGUGAUUAGUGCAAGUAUUAUUUCGAUGAUGCUUGACGAAUAAUUCUCCUUCUUUAGUGCUUCCCAUACGUAUUGCUGACGAAAAAUCAAAUUUGCCAUUUGAUGGCAUUUCUAACACUAAAUUUAAGAGAAAUUAUUAUGUCUAAAGUGACUGGUACCGUUAAGUUCUUCAACUCCGAGAAAGGUUUUGGUUUCAUCUCCCCGGUUGAUGGCAGCAAAGAUGUGUUCGUUCACUUCUCCGCCAUCCAGACCCCGGGUUUCAAAACCCUGGACGAAGGUCAGCGCGUUGAGUUCACCAUCGAGCAAGGCCAGAAAGGCCCGGCUGCUGCCAACGUAGUAGCUCUGUAAUUCACGCCCGGGCAGCUGUCCGGUCUGAAUGAAAAAACCCGCCAAGGCGGGUU
rnacentral:sRNA from 1 species